rnacentral:rRNA from 1 species
GGAGGGGGGGCUAGCGUUGUUCGGAAUUAUUGGGCGUAAAGGGCGCGUAGGCGGCCCGGGCAAGUCAGUCGUGAAAGCCCUCGGGCUCAACCGAGGAAUUGCGAUUGAAACUGCCGGGCUUGAGUCCUGGAGAGGGUAGCGGAAUUCCCAGUGUAGCGGUGAAAUGCGUAGAUAUUGGGAGGAACACCUGUGGCGAAGGCGGCUACCUGGACAGGUACUGACGCUGAGGCGCGAAAGCGUGGGGAGCAAACAGGAUUAGAUACCCUGGUAGCCCACGCUGUAAACGAUGGGCACUUGGUGUUGCGGGUACCGACCCCUGCAGUGCCGAAGCUAACGCAUUAAGUGCCCCGCCUGGGGAGUACGGUCGCAAGGCUG